rnacentral:rRNA from 1 species
UACGGGGGGGGCAAGCGUUGUUCGGAAUUACUGGGCGUAAAGGGCUCGUAGGCGGCCAACUAAGUCGGAUGUGAAAUCCCCAGGCUUAACCUGGGAACUGCAUCCGAUACUGGAUGGCUUGAAUCCGGGAGAGGGAUGCAGAAUUCCAGGUGUAGCGGUGAAAUGCGCAGAUAUCAGGAGGAACAUCUAUGGCGAAGGCAGCUCGCUGGGACGGUACUGACGCUGAGGCGCGAAAGCGUGGGGAGCGAACAGG